rnacentral:lncRNA from 1 species
CACCAGGCUUAGAAGUGUGGAAUAUAAAAGAUGGAAGAACUGGUUAUUCUUCAUGGAAGCAAAGUCUUAAUGCUUUUUUUUGAUAUGCUUUAUACAUCUGACAGAUUUCUGGACACAUGCACUAUAAAGUACAAACUUUCUUCAGUUCCAAUUUUUGAAAUGUUUCAUCCUUUAAGAAGAAGGGAAUCAUUUGAUUUUUAAAAUAACAGCAGCAUCUCAUUGCUUUCUGUAACCGGCUAAAUCCUGAAAUGUUCUGGAUAUGUUUCUGGUCAAGGUAAAUGCUGAUAUCUGUGGAUUUUGAUGAAAUUCACUUCUCCCUUCACCAAACCAUAUUAACACUUACCUUUGACAGUUAGAAUAAGAAACUGAGUAAUAAAUCUUAACAAACAUCAAUUCACAGUACUUUUAUGCACUCUUGGUAUAUACCUCCCAGCUAUCUGGAUAAUUCUUGAUCAGAGUAAUAACUUUAGGUUAAAUGUGAGACACUGAAAAAAAUUUUAAUUACAGAGAAGGCUGCCUUAGAUUUCACUAUCAAUUUGAUCUCCUAUGAAGAUGAAAUUAAAAAGCAAAAUUAGUAGACCAGGAAGAGAUUAUUUCAGGUCAAACUUUCUGCAUAGUUGAUAACAUGAUUUUUUGCAUUGAACUGUAUCUUGAGAUUUUCUUUGCUACUGAAACAUAUGUAUUUUCUAGUCAUAGGUUUUGAUUAAAUUCUUUCUCCCAACUCUAUUCUUCUGGAGAUGCUUGUUUGAAACAAAUAUUCUAGGAAAAAUUAUCUUGCUGUUUCUUAACUUUUUCACCAAGCUUUCUUCAUGGUAUAGUUUUAAGUAGAUGCAUUUGCAAAUAAUUGCUCUAGCAUCUUGUACACUGAAACAUCCCAUACCAACCCUAGUUAUCUCUUGGAAUAUUGAUUAAUUGGUGAUUGCAGUUGUUUCCAAUGAUGAUACUGAACAAUUUUUGUCUCUUCUCCAAAGAGAUCCAUUAAAGGAAAAAAAAUGUCUUGGAUCUUCUGAAAUAAAACACCAUUUAGGCAUCUUUUAAAAAUAAAAAUGAGUUCUGAAUUUCCUUAUUUGUGAAAAAGUGAAGUAGGGAAUGUUAUAAUAAUUUGGAAAAUGAUUUUGAAAGAAUAAUUAAAUGGAGAGAAAAGUGACUCAUGCAUAUCAACUAAGAUUGCGAAUUUCUAGAUACUAUAUGCAUUAAGCAUAUACAUUGAAGGACUCCCAGAGAAGGCAAGGAUUACAAUCUUUUUUCCUAUGUUUAUAAACACAGUGGCUAUUCUAUUCACUCAGCUUUGAAUGCAACACCACAAUUUCACUUGGGAUCUGCUUCUCCAUCUCAAGAACAUCUUUGGGGGACCUGCUUAGAAUAAGGGACAAAGCAAUUGCUCAGCCAGUUUUGGUAUUGCUACAAAAUAGGUGAAAAUAAUUCCCCAGAUAUUCAGGUAAAGAGGAAGUUAGUAUUUCUAAAAGAGACUUUCCAUAGCUACUCUCAGCCCAUAUUUUAAAGCAUCAAAGGUGCAGGUCCUGAUUAAGCCCUGGGAUACAUUACUCGUAUACAUGAUGGUGGGGUGGACCUAGGGGCAACUAUUUCAUAGUGGUAAGCAUGGUAUUUCUGAAGCUUCAUUAUCUGAGCCCUAAUUGUGCAACCUUGGAUACAUGAGAUAACUUCUUUGUUUCUGAAUUUCCUUAUUUGUAAUAUGGAACUAAUAAUAGUGAUAAUUGUGAUAAUACCUGCCUGUAAGAUUGUUGAGAGGAUUAUAUUAGUACCCUCAAAUAAAUGGUGGCCAUUAUUGAGAGGAGGGGUUCCAAUUUUAGUGACAAAAAAUUUAAAUAAAGAUAUAAGCCAGAUUAUCUAUUCCAAAAUAAAAUGAGACUAUUUGAAACAGUCAAUUUUAGUUCCCAGAGCUCUGAAGAAUACUAGAUUGAAGAAAUUUUUAUCAACACUUAAGAAAGUAUAUUGUGAGAAGGGACCUUGCUGAUAAGAAACAGAUGCUAAAGACCUUAGUGGAGAAGACUCGGUGUUUUUACUGGAAAGGUAGACUCUGAAUCAUAAAGUACAGCAAAAUUAGCUUUGCACAAGCUUAUGUAACACCCAUGUUUUUUGAUCAUGUGCUUUAUUUGCUUCUGAGUUUCAGUGAUGAAAUUCUCUGAGAACUAAAGCAGGAAGACUUCUGCUUUCUCUGUUUUAGUUCUUAGAGAAUGUCAUCACCGAAACACAGAAUCAGAUAAAGUGGGUGAACAAUGUUUUUCAUUUCCAUGAACCAUCAAAUAAGUAGAUGACAUUAUGUUGAAUUUGUACUCAUUAAAAAUAUGUACCUAAAAGAGACCAGUGUAUUUGUUACAAAACGUAACAUUGUUCACAGAUAUAAAAUCAACAUAUUGUUAUGUCUUUUUAAAAUAUCAUUCCCAGUAAUUAAAAACUCCAAGUCCUUGGUUAAACUCCAUGAGUUUCCCUAAAUACUCAGUUUCUAGGUUACUCUCACCUCACUAUCCUAUAAGUAUAUGCUCAAGGAAAACAAACUGUAGUUCAGUUUGGUUCAAUUUAGUUCAGGUCAAAAGAUAAGCAUCUAUUAUGUGCAAAGAACAGUACUAGAUGGCAGCACUAAGAAGAUAGUGUAGGGAAAGAAAUAAAGAGGCAAACACAAUCAUUAGCAAAUAUUUGGUCAGAACUGACUGUAUUCAAGAAACAGUCUAUAACAUGGCAUUCUAGGUAUUAUAACAAUAGAUUGUAUCUGACAGCCAAUGGGAUGGGUUAUGAAGGAUGAGAAAGGAAAAUCUCAAAAUAAAAUGAUAUUUAAAGAGAGUUCUGAAGGAGAUGAGAGAGGGAGCUUGACAGACCUUGCAAAAGAGAUUUUCAGGCUGAAGGAAAAGGAAAUGCAAGGACCCUUCAGUGAGAUCCUGGUUCCUGUGCAAGCUGAGCAGUGAUCAGGGGAAAGUGAUGAUCAGGGAUUUGAUGGAGGGAGGGUCUUAUAGGCCACAGCCUGUAAGAGGUUGGCUUUGGUUCUGAAUGAGAGAGUUGCUAGUAGAGGCUUUUACUCCAAGGGACAGAGAAAAGAUUGCCCAGGUCAGAGGGCUUAGCGACUAGUUAGGAGGGAUGGUGAAAUUCCAGGACAAUGGCUUGGACCAGGACAGCUAUAGUGGAGGUAGUGAAAAUUUUAAGACUCUGAGUAUAUUUUGAAGUAUGAGCUAACAGAAUUAUUUAGGAUCAGAAAAAGAAGGGAUUAAGAGCGACUCCAAGAUUAUUGGCUAAUAAAUGGAAGAAUGGAGUUUUGCUAUGAAGGGAAAGAAGUAGAGGGUGGAAGCGGGGAGCAUGUAGGAUCAAGAGAACUUUUUGACAGAUGGUAUUUAGCAUGUUUCUGUAUUUAUAAGAAUGGAGGAGAAAAAAUUGAAGAUCUGAGAGAAAAAGGAAAUAAUUGCAGUAAGGAUGUCUUGAAUAGAACUUAAGGUAAUGAAUCCAGAAAAAAAAGAGGUGUUGAUUUAAAAUAAGAGCAUAGGCAAUUCAAUUAGAAUGACAGAAGGGAAGGCAAAAUAUGUGUAGGUGAGGUAGAAUAUAACAUAUGAAGACAGAUACAAGUGCAGGUAGGUUGGUGGAUUUCAAGGUGGAAACUUGUAGAAGUUUAUUUUCUGAUGGUUUCUAAUUUCUUAAUAACGUGAAAAGCAAGCCCAUUAUCUGAGCAAGAAGAAAAUGAAAGUGGUAUUAGAGAUUUGAAUACAAAUAAAAAGAAUAAAAUUGUCACUGAGGACCAUAGACAGUGUAAUAAAAGGCAAUAUGAUUGGAUUGCUAGAAACAUCUUUGAAUUCACUUGUUAUCUGUGGUCGAAAAGUUAGUUAGACCAGUCACUAUACCUGUGUUUUUGUCCAACCACACCAAGGUACAGGGGAUGUGGAGAACUUGGAUUUUUCCAGUGUUGGGAUUUUGCUAGACGUUGACAAGGGAAGGUCAGAGGGAUAGGAGAAUAUGGUAUCUGCAGAAGAGUGAUUAAGGUCUUGGGCCAUGGCACUCUCUAGGUGGACAUGGCAAUGGGCAGUGAAACCUUGAGGAGGUGAAUUUUGGUUUAAAGCUAUUCCAUGAAGUAUCUAUCAAAGUGGGCUCAGAGAAUUCCUAAAGGAUUAGUAGAGAUAGUGGUAUGCUUGAAAUUGACAUCAUGAAGGGCUGAAGAUGAUGUUAAGGCCUUUGUAUAACCAGGGAAGAGUGACUGAAAAGAGUUGAAGAACAAAGUAUUUUGAGGAGGAAGAUUAGGACAAGGGAGUACAAGGUACAGAGGAUUGUCUGCCUCAGUCUUCCAAUCCUGACUGCACAUUCAAAUUGUCUGAAGAGCUUUUUAAAAAUAUACCAAAGGCCAGGUUCCAUCUCAGACAAAUUAAACUAGACUUUCUAAAUGUGGAACCUAUGUACUGGUAUUUUAAAAACUUCUUAUGAGGUUCUAUACAGGCAAGUUUGAGACCCAUGGAUAGACAUAUAUAGACAUAAUUAUAGGAAAUAAUUAUGGAGGAAGAGAAAAUGAGCCAGGAGAUAAAACCUUUAAAGAUUCAGGUGGAGGAAGUGGUGACCAGGAUGUCUGCUCUGUACCUUUGUGAAAUAGCAACAUAUAGAUAUGAAGCAUUUUGAUUCAGUUUACAAGAAGACUUAAAAAGCGUUUCAAUUGCAAGACCUUUGAAAAUACCCAGAUUUUGAAAUGAAAAAAACCCAGCUAAUCUUCUUGGUUCUGUUUUAGAGAAUCUUCCUGGUGCUUUUGUACUUUCAGAAGGAUAAUCCAUAACAGUUCUGCAUUGUACUGAAUUCUGCACUGUGGCAUAUAGAAUAAAACUGGCUUUUAGCACCAAAGUUUUCUAUAAAAUAUUGAAUGAAGAAAAGAACAGUAAAAAUCAAAGUAAGUACAUAUUUCUAAUGGAGGAUUUAAAUGUUCUGGAAGGUUCUUGUUUCUAAAAACAAGCAAAUAAACAUAGAAUCUUUUACAUCGGAAACAAAUCCAACCGUUAAUGCACACCCCAAAUAUCCUAGAUAUUCUUCUUUAAUUAUUCAGAAAUCUUUGCUUGUGUUAUAGUCUGCUGGGGCAGAAUCUUCUAUAACUUUUAUGUUAAAAGAUGCAAAAGUCUUUACUGGGUUGAAAUUGAAAUUAUAUUUUGCCCUUGCAUUCUCUCUUGAAUAACUUUUGCAAUUCUCAGCAAAGCCUAGUGUUUAUUUCAGACCUGUUCAUAAAUUACCAUUGUGGGUACUUUUUCCCAAGGGUGGACUUCCAUCAUUUGUUGAAAAGAUAGAGUAUAACCCUAUCUCAGUUCUCAUUAGGGUUAGGCAUUAUUAUUGCAUGUACAUUUUUCAAGGUUGUUAAUCUAAAUCAUGAAUCUUUUUAAAAGGUCACGGAAGUAAAUUUUUGAUAUAUACAGAUAAAACUGUGGUUGGCAGAUAUUAUUUCAUUUGAGAAGCCUGAAAAGAAUGACAUAGUCCUAUUUUUAAUUCACAGCCUGGGAAAAUUGGAAGAUGGCCCUGCUGUGGUGUCCCAUUCUUCCUGCUAAGGACAAUACCGGAAGAGUCAGCUCCAUGAACAGACAGGAAGGCAGAACACUAUACCAGCAAUGUUUCAGUCACAUUUCUUGAGAGCUACAUUUGGAGGUCUAAUAAAUUUGGGGUUUGCAUUUUUUAUUCUUUGAAUGCUCCCACUUAAAAUGUGGGAAUCUAUGUCAUAUAACUUUGAAGUGCUGAGUACUUCAUUUAGCUAAGUGGAAAGAUGUAUAGAAGAAAGAUAACAAUCUCUUUUUGGAAGGAGGUCAGAAUGGAUGGGUGAUGCAGGAGGCAGGAAGAUGGAAGAAAAUCAAAUAGGAGCACAGAAGAUGAAUAUUGUAAGCCCUGUAAUUAUAUUAUAGUUUCUUCUUUAGCCAAACCUGCCCAUUGGUCUGGUGGAAGUAGGAGGAAAGAGGAGGAUGCAGGGAACCAUAUUUACUUAUUAAUUCGUGUGUGUGUGUUUGAGUGUGGGUGGUGGUAUGGGGCCAUGAGUUCAUAUAAUAAACAAAUUUCUACAAAGGAAUAUUUGAUAUAAGGAUCUCAGUGAAUCAUCAAGAAUUGAAAUUAGUUUCUUUUCAAUAAAAUGUCAAGUGUAGGUGAAAUUACCAAAGAUGGAAUGUUAUAAGAAUCUGAAACCUUUUUCAAAAUCAAUCUUUAAUAAAAUAGAAUGUGGAUAAUGAAUAAGGAC